UACGGAGGAUGCGAGCGUUAUCCGGAUUUAUUGGGUUUAAAGGGUGCGUAGGCGGACUGUCUAGUCAGCGGUAAAAUUGAGAGGCUCAACCUCUUCCCGCCGUUGAAACUGGUGGUCUUGAGUGGAUGAGAAGUACGCGGAAUGCGUGGUGUAGCGGUGAAAUGCAUAGAUAUCACGCAGAACUCCGAUUGCGAAGGCAGCGUACCGGCAUCCAACUGACGCUGAGGCACGAAAGCGUGGGGAUCAAACAGG
rnacentral:rRNA from 1 species